rnacentral:rRNA from 1 species
UACGUAGGGUACAAGCGUUAAUCGGAAUUACUGGGCGUAAAGCGUGCGCAGGCGGUUUUGUAAGUCUGACGUGAAAUCCCCGGGCUCAACCUGGGAAUUGCGUUGGAGACUGCAAGGCUAGAAUCUGGCAGAGGGGGGUAGAAUUCCACGUGUAGCAGUGAAAUGCGUAGAGAUGUGGAGGAACACCGAUGGCGAAGGCAGCCCCCUGGGUCAAGAUUGACGCUCAUGCACGAAAGCGUGGGGAGCAAACAGG